rnacentral:rRNA from 1 species
AGACGUAGGGUGCAAGCGUUAUUCGGAAUCACUGGGCGUAAAGGACGCGUAGGCGGGUUGGUAAGUCAGAUGUGAAAUCCUACAGCUUAACUGUAGAACUGCAUUUGAAACUGCUAACCUAGAGUAUGGGAGGGGGAGAUGGAAUUAGUGGUGUAGGGGUAAAAUCCGUAGAUAUCACUAGGAAUACCGAAAGCGAAGGCGAUCUCCUGGAACAUAACUGACGCUAAGGCGUGAAAGCGUGGGGAGCAAACAGGAUUAGAAACCCGAGUAGUCC